rnacentral:rRNA from 1 species
AUAAAUGUCCUUGGGCUUUGAGCUUAUGAAAAUCUCCUAGGGUAAGCAAGGCUGACACUGGUCAGUACUUGGAUGGGAGACCUCCAAGGAAAUGCCAGGUGCCAUGUGAA